UGGGGAAUCUUGCACAAUGGGGGCAACCCUGAUGCAGCGACGCCGCGUGAGCGAUGAAGCCCUUCGGGGCGUAAAGCUCUUUCGACCGGAACGAUAAUGACGGUACCGGGAGAAGAAGCUGCGGCUAACUACGUGCCAGCAGCCGCGGUAAUACGUAGGCAGCAAGCGUUGUUCGGAAUUACUGGGCGUAAAGGGUGCGUAGGCGGCGCUCUAAGUUUGGUGUGAAAUCUCCCGGCUUAACUGGGAGGGUGCACUGAAAACUGGGGCGGUCGAGUAUGGGAGAGGAAAGCGGAAUUCCUGGUGUAGCGGUGAAAUGCGUAGAGAUCAGGAGGAACACCUGCGGUGCAGACGGCUUUCUGGACCAUCACUGACGCUGAGGCACGAAAGCGUGGGUAGCAAACA
rnacentral:rRNA from 1 species